UGUAAGUGGCAAACGCAAAAUAGAUUUUUAUGUCAAUUCCGCAGCACCUUCAAAAUUAAAUGCGCUAAACGAUCCAUUUUUUGUUCGCGUAUCGCUUUUGAAUCGACAAAAUGGGAAAUUACUUUAUUUUUUGGGUCUUAAACGCUUGCUCUCAAAAUCCAACGGAACCUCAUCCAACGCCCUGCGAUUCGCCUAUUUCUUCAUAGGAUUUUUGUUAUGUAGAGUUGCAUUAUAGACGAACUCGAUAUGUGUUUGAUGGGGCAGUGAGAUACAAGAGAGGGAUAUUGAAGUUGGUCGGAACCUUGGCAAAUUAAACAGCAACAUGACAAAUCAGUUGAAUAAACAGGGAGGAGUGCCAAAACCUACGGAGACAUCUAUUCACUGCUUCUCGAUCUAUCUUACCUGAAAACCCUACCAUCGAUGCAGCCAACAAGGUCUAUUGGGCAUAAUAUGGAGCUGGUGGUUUAGAGUUAUUCAGCGUGUACCACGCGAGUUUUGGCCCUAGGGGAGUGCUUAGGAAUGACAUAAGGCACUGGAGUAUGUAUCACUAAUAUGUUCCUAUUACUUUUACUACCAAGAUGAUUGAAAUCCUUGAAGACUUGAGAUCGAAGAUGAUCUUUAAAAGGGGAAACAUGUAAAUAGCAUAAAAGGUAGGACUUGAAUUUUGUUCUGCUCUAGCUGGAAGCUGGAAUAAUUUUGUCUUCUUAGUGAUCUACUGUAGUUUGCAUUUCUUAGACAAUCUUGUUUGAAAACAUAGUGCUAGUGCAUGUGCCUGUGCCUGGACAAUCAUGCCACUACUUUGAACAUGUUUGGCCAUUCUAUAUCUCGAACGAUGUUUGUGCUGAAA